rnacentral:rRNA from 1 species
GACGAACGCUGGCGGCGUGCUUAACACAUGCAAGUCGAGCGGUAAGGCCCUUUCGGGGGUACACGAGCGGCGAACGGGUGCGUAAUACAUGGGAAUCUGCCUUUUAGUGGGGAAUAACCCGGCGAAAGCCGGGCUAAUGCCGCAUAAGAUCUUCGGAUGAAAGCGGGGGAUCGUAAGACCUCGCGCUGAUAGAUGAGCCCAUGCCGGAUUAGCUAGUUGGUGAGGUAACGGCUCACCAAGGCGACGAUCCGUAGCUGGUCUGAGAGGACGGCCAGCCACACUGGGACUGAGACACGGCCCAGACUCCUACGGGAGGCAGCAGUGGGGAAUCUUGCGCAAUGGGCGAAAGCCUGACGCAGCGACGCCGCGUGA